rnacentral:lncRNA from 1 species
CUCAUCUCUACGUUAAAAUAUCUCUCUCUCUUCUCUCUACCCACUUACAAAUCACUACCCUCUCUCUCAUCAAUUCAACCGAGCCGGGAGGAAGAACUCGACGACUCUCUGCUUCCAGAUCUGGGUAAUCAUUCCAAGAAUCUGGGUUUAUGGUAUUUUCUCGAUGACUUUGACAAUCACCGCCUCCUAAAACUCACCGACUUAUGAAGUUUUCGAUUUCCACAAGGAUUGUACCGCGAAUUUGACCGUUCAGAUCAAUACGGUAAGUUUAUCUAGCCGUUUAUAUCCCCUCUAAUUGUCUAUAAAUUGGAUCGCCUAGCCUUGUUCAUCAAUCAUUAGGAAGCCGGUGGUCCGGGUUGGUAUUAUUUUUCGGUGUUGCUUUUGUUAUUGGUGGUCGUGUGUCAUUGAUUUCAAUUAUUGGAUUGAGCAUAGGAAAUUCGAUGGUACAUAUACAAGAUGUAAGAAGGCCAAGCAAGCACAUGGUGGGGAAAGCCAACAACUUGACAGCAGGGCUCAAUAGGAGUCUCUAGAAGGAUGCUGAGUCAGUAAAAUUGUUAGGGACUAUUAGUUAGUUUGUUAGAGUUACUUGGGGGAAGGGUAUAAAUAAAACAUGUAAGGAGAGGGGAGGGGAUGUGAAAGAAAUCAAGUAAGAAUUAGGGGAAUGGAGAAUCGUAAUUUCCAUUAAGUUCUCAUUUACAGUACUUAUUUCAUUUUGAAUCUAUAUUACAGAAAAUUUCCCCAAAAUUCCUCAUUCUCAGUAUUCUCUUCUCUAUUGCAGUGAGCCUUAAUAUUGUCUAUCUGGGAAAGAUUUCUAUCCGCUGCUUAAUUUCAAAACUUCACUCUAUCUUACUCCCAGUAUGGUGAAUAAACUAUUGUUGGUCCCUAGUGAAUUUGAUUCUUGAAGUGCACAGACUCCUAAGUGGAGAUUUAGUCCACUAUCAGAUUUUCACAACUACUCAAUAUUUGAUAAGUAUUCAUUUGUGUUUUGAAUGUGGAAUUUUCUUUAAAGGAGAUGAUAACUAAUUAGCAGUCUACCUUUAUAUCUAGUAUGAAAGUAUCUUUUUGUGCUGUGAUGGUUGAUUUUUAAAUGAAGUGGUUCAUCAUGGUAUUGGAGUAAGCAAAUUCCUUGGGAUCAAGUUUUGCUAUCACUAUUUAUUGAACUUGUGCACAUACGAGGCUUUUGACAAAAAAUGAAUUCAUUUUGUGUGAGUGAGGGCAUGUUCAAGACUAGAUUUAAGUGAAUAAACGUGUCACUCUUUAACGACGUUGACAUAUUUUAAGGCAGAUUGUAUCAUUUCUAGUUUAUAAUCAUCUCACUGUAUUGAAGACAGUUAUUUUAUUGCUUAGAGUUUAUUGUACCAAAUAUUAAUCUUUGAUUAGAGAGAUAGUUGAAGAUUUAGAAGUAGCUUAACAAUUUAUGUCCUUGGGUUUAUGUUCUUGAUUCUAUUAAUUGGGGGAUUACUGUGGUGCGAAUGAGUUAGGGAAGCAUGAAACUGAAAAAAAUGAUUUUAAGAAUUCUAAUAUAACCAGUUGACAUUAUGCUUGGAAGGUCAUGCAAUGAAUUUCUAUUAUGAUGUAGCUACAGUUAACUUUUUAUUCUAUAAUGCUUUUAUGUUAUUCUUUCUAAACAAAUUUUUAUUAAUUUUUAUUUAACGUGGUAGUUUAUAACAUGGCUACAACAACGAAUCAACGUCGAUGCCGACGACAACAUUUAGGUAUAUUUUGGACGAUGGUCAUGCAAGCGAUUGUGAUGUAUAACGAACUUAGGCGUCAUGCACGACAUCUUCCAAGAGCUCCUCAUACAAAUUGGAAUUCUGAAAGAGAAAUAACACUUACACGAAUGUUUAGUAUGAGUGAUACAAUAUGUCGUGAUCUCCUUAGGAUGAAAAUAGGUCCAUUUCAAAGAUUAUGUGCUCGUUUGCAAACUUAUGGAUUGGUUGACGGUAAAUACGUUUGAAUUGAGGAACAAGUCGCAAUUUUUCUGAAUACAGUCGGGCAUGACCAACGUAAUCGCGCUAGACAUUUUACUUUCUUUCGCUCUGGUCAAACAGUGAGCUUUUACUUUCACAGAGUCUUACACACUUGUCUUGGACUGUAUAGAGAUGUUGUGAUUAAUGCCACUCUUCAUAACUCACCAUACGAAAAAGAAAAUGUGCAACCAUGGUACUCCUUUUUUUAGGUUAGUGGUUUGUAGUUAUUUCAUCACAUUUCUUAAAACUUCAAUAUUUACAUUCAUUUUGAAAAGUAUUGUUUUUUAAAGGAUGCCGUAGGAGCAAUCGAUGGUACACAUAUAGCUGCGUAUGUGCCUUUAGAGAAACAAGGUAAAUAUCGCAAUAGAAAGCAAGUGAUUUCCCAAAAUGUUUUCGUAGCUUGUACAUUUGAUAUGAAAUUUACGUACGUGCUUGCCGGUUGGGAGGGAUCUGCACAUGACGGUCGAUUGUUACGGAGUGCAAUAUUACGCCAAGGACAUAAGCUAACAAUUCCUAUUGGUAAGUUGUGUCACUAUUUUGAAAACAUUUCUUCCACACAUAAGUUAUAAUUACCUAACUAUCAUCUUAUGAACGACUCUUUCUUAUGUAAUUAUUACCUUGUUGACGCUGGCUUCCCAUCGGUUUCGGGUUUUCUUGCACCAUAUUGUAUGACUCGUUAUCAUCGUAGAGACAUUGAAGGUCAACGUCCUGAAAGUAGUAAGGAAUUGUUCAAUUUUCGAUAUUCAUCUCUACACAAUGUUAUUGAGCGUACAAUUGGUUUGCUGAAAAAAAGAUUUGCAUAUUUGAGACAUCCACCCUAUCACGACAUUGACGCACAAGAAAGAUAGUCCUUGCCUAUUCUGUCAUCCACAACUUCUUAAAGAUUGAUGACGUUGAUGUUUGUGAGGAGGACGACUUAUAUAGUAGUGAUGAUGAGGUUAACCCUACGCAUAUUGAUGUACCGGAAGAUGAAACUCCAAAUGCUCACAUAUCUUUCACAAAUCAGGAAGUGUGGUCUAAUAAGAGGAAUGCGAUUGCUGAUUUAAUGUGGGCUGAUUAUCUUCCCAAUCAGAAUGCGGGAAUUGAUUUUGAUUGAAAUCUGAUUUUUUUUUCUUGUUUUUUAUUUUUUAUUUGUUAUUCGUUUCUAUGUAAUGGAUAUAAAUUUACUAGACUUUCAUAAGUAGUAAUUGCUUGAAUUGAAGAUGUAUUGACAUUAAACAGAUUUUUUAUUUUUUCCCCCAUGUCCUAUAAUAGUUGACAUAAGAUUGCUAGAAUUUUAAAUAUUGUAAUUGGAAUUGUUGUUAUUGGAGACAUUGUUGACAUGCAAUUUUCUUAAAUGUUCUUAUUUAUUGGUUGACCAUAAACAGUUAAUCUUGCACUAUACAUGGCAAAUAUUUGAUAAAGCUCUGCGGCACCUUUUCGAGUUCCUAGACCAACCCUUCAUUCAGAUGUGGAGGAAAUAAGCUCAACCCAAGCGGAUCCUAAUUCUAGGAAUCGUCAAAUACGUUGGAGUGAUGCAAUGGACGAUUGUAUGAUAACUGCACUACUACAUCAAGUGUUGUCUAGUCACAAAAGAAGUGACAAUGGCUUUUCAUCGUAUCACGUGUCCAAAGCAAUCGAGAACGUGCACAAUGGAUGCGGAGUCAUGGUGUCUGAUAAGAAUGUGAGGGCGCGAUUGAAAACUCUGAAAAAAGAAUAUGUUGAAGUUCGUCAGUUGUUAAGCAUGAGUGGUAUUGGAUUAGAUCCUCACACUGGACGUGUCAUAGCCGAUGUACUAGCUUGGGAGGAGUUGUUGAAGGUACAAAAUUUCAUUGACCAAUGAAAGUAUAAUUCCUUAAAUAUUACUAAUCUAAUUUAUUUUGCCCACUAACUAGCGUAAAACAUAUUUCACUCUUUUUCUUGUACGGCAACCAGAAUUUGGAAAGUGGACCAAACUUUGUUCUCGUUAUGAUGAUUUGGAGGCUAUCUUUGGAAAUGAUUCUGCUACAGGAGAUCGUGCUGUCACCGGCAAUGACAUUUUAUCCCCCGAUCAUGGUACGUACUAGAUCGUACAUAAAAAUUUAUAUAAUUAGUAUUAUAUUAAAGAUUCUAUCAAAUUCUUAUUUUAUUAUUUUUUUAGAUGAAAAUGUGCAUGAAGUUGAUGGUCAAAAUAAGGAUACGGAUCCAAGCCUCAUUCGCGCUCCUAAGCGUAAUGCCGAAGGAGGAACUAACAAAGUUCGCUGUCGACGUACCCAACCUAAUGAUGAGAGUCUCGUUGCCCUAUCAAGCAUUGCCAAAUCAUCUAAAAAAAUUGCUAUUGCUAUGGAGACUUGAGCAACAUUAGAUACGCUAAACCAUAUCAAUUGGCAGCUGGUUCUAGAAAAAUUACAAGAUACGAGUAUAGAAAAACGUGACAUAAUGCAAGUAAUGAAAAAUAUUUCGAUUGGGUGAGAGUCUGGCUAGAGUAUUUAUGAGUUUGACUGAUGGAGAAUUCAUGCGUGAUUUAGUAUUUGAGAAUCUGGGCGGUGAUCCGCCUCCACUAUUUUAAGAUGACUUGCUUGGAUAAUUUAACCAACAUAUGUAAAAGUAUGACAUUUAUGUUGAUUUUAUUUGCUAUUUUCUUAUGAUACAGAUUUUUAGGGUUUUUUCAUUUUCAUUUUAU